GGUUAAGCGACUAAGCGUACACGGUGGAUGCCCUGGCAGUCAGAGGCGAUGAAGGACGUGCUAAUCUGCGAUAAGCGUCGGUGAGGUGAUAUGAACCGUUAUAACCGGCGAUUUCCGAAUGGGGAAACCCAGUGUGUUUCGACACACUAUCAUUAACUGAAUCCAUAGGUUAAUGAGGCGAACCGGGGGAACUGAAACAUCUAAGUACCCCGAGGAAAAGAAAUCAACCGAGAUUCCCCCAGUAGCGGCGAGCGAACGGGGAGCAGCCCAGAGCCUGAAUCAGUGUGUGUGUUAGUGGAAGCGUCUGGAAAGGCGCGCGAUACAGGGUGACAGCCCCGUACACAAAAAUGCACAUGCUGUGAGCUCGAUGAGUAGGGCGGGACACGUGGUAUCCUGUCUGAAUAUGGGGGGACCAUCCUCCAAGGCUAAAUACUCCUGACUGACCGAUAGUGAACCAGUACCGUGAGGGAAAGGCGAAAAGAACCCCGGCGAGGGGAGUGAAAAAGAACCUGAAACCGUGUACGUACAAGCAGUGGGAGCCUCUUAAUGGGGUGACUGCGUACCUUUUGUAUAAUGGGUCAGCGACUUAUAUUCUGUAGCAAGGUUAACCGAAUAGGGGAGCCGAAGGGAAACCGAGUCUUAACUGGGCGUUAAGUUGCAGGGUAUAGACCCGAAACCCGGUGAUCUAGCCAUGGGCAGGUUGAAGGUUGGGUAACACUAACUGGAGGACCGAACCGACUAAUGUUGAAAAAUUAGCGGAUGACUUGUGGCUGGGGGUGAAAGGCCAAUCAAACCGGGAGAUAGCUGGUUCUCCCCGAAAGCUAUUUAGGUAGCGCCUCGUGAAUUCAUCUCCGGGGGUAGAGCACUGUUUCGGCAAGGGGGUCAUCCCGACUUACCAACCCGAUGCAAACUGCGAAUACCGGAGAAUGUUAUCACGGGAGACACACGGCGGGUGCUAACGUCCGUCGUGAAGAGGGAAACAACCCAGACCGCCAGCUAAGGUCCCAAAGUCAUGGUUAAGUGGGAAACGAUGUGGGAAGGCCCAGACAGCCAGGAUGUUGGCUUAGAAGCAGCCAUCAUUUAAAGAAAGCGUAAUAGCUCACUGGUCGAGUCGGCCUGCGCGGAAGAUGUAACGGGGCUAAACCAUGCACCGAAGCUGCGGCAGCGACACUAUGUGUUGUUGGGUAGGGGAGCGUUCUGUAAGCCUGUGAAGGUGUACUGUGAGGUAUGCUGGAGGUAUCAGAAGUGCGAAUGCUGACAUAAGUAACGAUAAAGCGGGUGAAAAGCCCGCUCGCCGGAAGACCAAGGGUUCCUGUCCAACGUUAAUCGGGGCAGGGUGAGUCGACCCCUAAGGCGAGGCCGAAAGGCGUAGUCGAUGGGAAACAGGUUAAUAUUCCUGUACUUGGUGUUACUGCGAAGGGGGGACGGAGAAGGCUAUGUUGGCCGGGCGACGGUUGUCCCGGUUUAAGCGUGUAGGCUGGUUUUCCAGGCAAAUCCGGAAAAUCAAGGCUGAGGCGUGAUGACGAGGCACUACGGUGCUGAAGCAACAAAUGCCCUGCUUCCAGGAAAAGCCUCUAAGCAUCAGGUAACAUCAAAUCGUACCCCAAACCGACACAGGUGGUCAGGUAGAGAAUACCAAGGCGCUUGAGAGAACUCGGGUGAAGGAACUAGGCAAAAUGGUGCCGUAACUUCGGGAGAAGGCACGCUGAUAUGUAGGUGAAGUCCCUCGCGGAUGGAGCUGAAAUCAGUCGAAGAUACCAGCUGGCUGCAACUGUUUAUUAAAAACACAGCACUGUGCAAACACGAAAGUGGACGUAUACGGUGUGACGCCUGCCCGGUGCCGGAAGGUUAAUUGAUGGGGUUAGCGGUAACGCGAAGCUCUUGAUCGAAGCCCCGGUAAACGGCGGCCGUAACUAUAACGGUCCUAAGGUAGCGAAAUUCCUUGUCGGGUAAGUUCCGACCUGCACGAAUGGCGUAAUGAUGGCCAGGCUGUCUCCACCCGAGACUCAGUGAAAUUGAACUCGCUGUGAAGAUGCAGUGUACCCGCGGCAAGACGGAAAGACCCCGUGAACCUUUACUAUAGCUUGACACUGAACAUUGAGCCUUGAUGUGUAGGAUAGGUGGGAGGCUUUGAAGUGUGGACGCCAGUCUGCAUGGAGCCGGCCUUGAAAUACCACCCUUUAAUGUUUGAUGUUCUAACGUUGGCCCCUGAUCGGGGUUGCGGACAGUGUCUGGUGGGUAGUUUGACUGGGGCGGUCUCCUCCUAAAGAGUAACGGAGGAGCACGAAGGUUGGCUAAUCCUGGUCGGACAUCAGGAGGUUAGUGCAAUGGCAUAAGCCAGCUUGACUGCGAGCGUGACGGCGCGAGCAGGUGCGAAAGCAGGUCAUAGUGAUCCGGUGGUUCUGAAUGGAAGGGCCAUCGCUCAACGGAUAAAAGGUACUCCGGGGAUAACAGGCUGAUACCGCCCAAGAGUUCAUAUCGACGGCGGUGUUUGGCACCUCGAUGUCGGCUCAUCACAUCCUGGGGCUGAAGUAGGUCCCAAGGGUAUGGCUGUUCGCCAUUUAAAGUGGUACGCGAGCUGGGUUUAGAACGUCGUGAGACAGUUCGGUCCCUAUCUGCCGUGGGCGCUGGAGAACUGAGGGGGGCUGCUCCUAGUACGAGAGGACCGGAGUGGACGCAUCACUGGUGUUCGGGUUGUCAUGCCAAUGGCACUGCCCGGUAGCUAAAUGCGGAAGAGAUAAGUGCUGAAAGCAUCUAAGCACGAAACUUGCCCCGAGAUGAGUUCUCCCUGACUCCUUGAGAGUCCUGAAGGAACGUUGAAGACGACGACGUUGAUAGGCCGGGUGUGUAAGCGCAGCGAUGCGUUGAGCUAACCGGUACUAAUGAACCGUGAGGCUUAACCUU
rnacentral:rRNA from 1 species